rnacentral:rRNA from 1 species
AUGUCCGAUGUAGUGAAGUUGAGAUUUUACUAUGGUCCUGGUACUGUCCAAACAAAUGAGUUGGGAGCAGAUCUGAGUGAAUUUACUCACAUAGAGGUGGCAAUCAACGCACCACAAACAUGGUCUGUUAGUCAGUUGAAAGAAUGGAUUGCGGCAAGUUUAGGUCUUGAUACUGAAACACACACCGUCGGUGUUCAUGCAUUGUGGACACGGUCAAGUUCAAAAAUUUACUUUUAUUUGAGGCCAAUAGAGGGAGACUCCGAUUGGGUGCGGUGGUUACAAGGUUGUGAACGAAGGGGAUGCAAUCAUGUUGCUUUAGUGCUUCCCGUCGUGAAGGAGGUCACUGCACAUGAAGGGGAGGGUGGCUACGAAGGACAGAGCAGUCAUGUAGAAGGAGGAAAUGCUUAUGGUUACGACAAGGACAGAGCAGUCAGGUAG